rnacentral:rRNA from 1 species
GACGAACGCUGGCGGCGUGCUUAACACAUGCAAGUCGAACGGAAAGGCCCUGCUUGCAGGGUACUCGAGUGGCGAACGGGUGAGUAACACGUGGGUGAUCUGCCCUGCACUUCGGGAUAAGCCUGGGAAACUGGGUCUAAUACCGGAUAGGAGCCAUUUUUAGUGUGAUGGUUGGAAAGUUUUUUCGGUGUAGGAUGAGCUCGCGGCCUAUCAGCUUGUUGGUGCGGUAAUGGCCUACCAAGGCGGCGACGGGUAGCCGGCCUGAGAGGGUGGACGGCCACAUUGGGACUGAGGGACGGCCCAGACUGCUACGGGAGGCAGCAGGGGGGAAUAUUGCACAAGGGGCGCAAGCCUGAUGAAGCGACGCCGCGUGGGGGAGGACGGCCUUCGGGUUGAAAACUCCUUUCGCUAGGGACGAAGCUUUUUGUGACGGUACCUAGAUAAGAAGCACCGGCUAACUACGUG